rnacentral:rRNA from 1 species
GACGAACGCUGGCGGCGUGCUUAACACAUGCAAGUCGAACGGAAAGGCCCUGCUUUUGUGGGGUGCUCGAGUGGCGAACGGGUGAGUAACACGUGAGUAACCUGCCCUUGACUUUGGGAUAACUUCAGGAAACUGGGGCUCAUACCGGAUAGGAGCUCCUGCUGCAUGGUGGGGAUUGGAAAGUUUCGGCGGUUGUGGAUGGACUCGCGGCUUAUCAGCUUGUUGGUGGGGUAGUUGCUGACCAAGGCUUUGACGGGUAGCCGGCCUGAGAGGGUGACCGGGCACAUUGGGACUGAGAUACGGCGCAGACGCCUAUGGGAGGCAGCAGUGGGGAAUAUUGCACAACGGGCGGAAGCCUGAUGCAGCAACGCCGCGUGCGGGAUGACGGCCUUCGGGUGGUAAACCGCUUUCGCCGGUGACGAAGCGUGAGUGACGGUAAUGGGUAAAGAAGCACCGGCUAACUACGUG